ensembl:piRNA 21ur-1360 ncRNA
UUCUCUCAGCCUACGACCAAA